AUACGUAGGGGGCGAGCGUUGUCCGGAAUGAUUGGGCGUAAAGGGCGCGUAGGCGGCGCGGUAAGUCUGGAGUGAAAGUCCUGCUUUCAAGGUGGGAAUUGCUUUGGAUACUGCCGCGCUUGAGUGCAGGAGAGGUUAUCGGAAUUCCCGGUGUAGCGGUGAAAUGCGUAGAGAUCGGGAGGAACACCAGUGGCGAAGGCGGGUAACUGGACUGCAACUGACGCUGAGGCGCGAAAGUGUGGGGAGCAAACAGGAUUAGAUACCCUGGUAGUCCACACUGUAAACGAUGAAUGCUAGGUGUAAGAGGUAUCGACCCCUUUUGUGCCGGAGUCAACACAAUAAGUAUUCCGCCUGGGGAGUACGGCCGCAAGGUUGAAACUCAAAUGAAUUGACGGGG
rnacentral:rRNA from 1 species